UCUCUAAGUGUUGUUGUUGUGGUUCGAGAGACUUCCACGACUUCGCACGAGGUGGACGUGCACCAUUUCAUCCUCGAGCUUCACUGUGUAAAGCCGCGUGUUUCCUUUAGCGAUGGCGGAUAAUAAGACCAAGGCUGCCGCCUUGAAGGAUGAGGGUAAUGCUGCUCUUAGUGCCGGAAAUGUGCAAGAAGCUGUUAAUAAAUACUCAGAAGCUAUUGCACUUGAUCCAGAAAAA